rnacentral:rRNA from 1 species
ACGGCUCAGUAACACGUGGAUAACCUGCCCUGCGGUGGGAAAUAACCCCGGGAAACUGGGGAUAAUGUCCCAUAGGCUACGGAUGCUGGAAUGCUCUGUAGCUCAAAGAUUUAUCGCCACAGGAUGGGUCUGCGGCCGAUUAGGUAGUUGUUGGGGUAACGGCCCAACAAGCCUUUGAUCGGUACGGGUUGUGGGAGCAAGAGCCCGGAGAUGGAUUCUGAGACACGAAUCCAGGCCCUACGGGGCGCAGCAGGCGCGAAAACUUUACAAUGCGGGAAACCGUGAUAAGGGAACUCCGAGUGUCCGUCAAUGCGGACUGUCCGUAUGUUUAAAAAGCAUGCGAAGAAAGGGCCGGGCAAGACCGGUGCCAGCCGCCGCGGUAAUACCGGCGGCUCGAGUGGUGGCCACUAUUACUGGGCUUAAAGCGUUCGUAGCUGGGUUGUUAAGUCUCUUGGGAAAUCUACCGGCUUAACCGAUAGGCGUCCAAGGGAUACUGGCAAUCUAGGGACCGGGAGAGGUGAGGGGUACUUCAGGGGUAGGAGUGAAAUCCUGUAAUCCUUGGGGGACCACCUGUGGCGUAGGCGCCUCACCAGAACGGCUCCGACAGUGAGGGACGAAAGCUGGGGGAGCAAACCGGAUUAGAUACCCGGGUAGUCCCAGCCGUAAACGAUGCGCGUUAGGUGUAUCGAUGACCACGAGUCAUCGAGGUGCCGAAGGGAAACCGUGAAACGCGCCGCCUGGGAAGUACGGUCGCAAGGCUGAAACUUAAAGGAAUUGGCGGGGGAGCAC